rnacentral:rRNA from 1 species
UACGAAGGGGGCUAGCGUUGCUCGGAAUCACUGGGCGUAAAGGGCGCGUAGGCGGCCAAGUAAGUUGGGGGUGAAAGCCCUCAGCUCAACUGAGGAAGUGCGCCCGAAACUGCAUUGCUUGAGUACCGGAGAGGAUGGCGGAAUUCCCGAAGUAGAGGUGAAAUUCGUAGAUAUCGGGAGGAACACCGGUGGCGAAGGCGGCCAUCUGGACGGAUACUGACGCUGAGACGCGAAAGCGUGGGUAGCAAACAGG